UACGAAGGGUGCUAGCGUUGUUCGGAAUUACUGGGCGUAAAGAGCGCGUAGGCGGUUGUACUAGUCAGGGGUGAAAUCCCAGAGCUUAACUCUGGAACUGCCUUUGAAACUGUGCAGCUGGAGUGUGUGAGGGGAUAGCGGAAUUCCUAAUGUAGAGGUGAAAUUCGUAGAUAUUAGGAGGAACACCGGUGGCGAAGGCGGCUAUCUGGCACACAACUGACGCUGAGGCGCGAAAGCGUGGGGAUCAAACAGG
rnacentral:rRNA from 1 species